rnacentral:rRNA from 1 species
CACGUAGGAGACAAGCGUUAUCCGGAUUUACUGGGUGUAAAGCGCGUGCAGGCGGUUUGGAAAGUUGGAUGUGAAAGCUCCUGGCUUAACUGGGAGAGGUCGUACAAGACUACCAGACUAGAGGACAGCAGAGGGGAGUGGAAUUCCGAGUGUAGCGGUAAAAUGCAUAGAUAUUCGGAAGAACACCAGUGGCGAAGGCGGCUCCCUGGGCUGUAACUGACGCUCAGACGCGAAAGCUAGGGUAGCAAACGGG